UCUACGGGAGGCAGCAGUGGGGAAUCUUCCGCAAUGGGCGAAAGCCUGACGGAGCAACGCCGCGUGAUCGAAUGAAGGCCUUCGGGUUGUAAACUUCUUUUAAGGGGGAAGAGCAGAAGACGGUACCCCUUGAAUAAGCCACGGCUAACUACGUGCCAGCAGCCGCGGUAAUACGUAGGUGGCAAGCGUUGUCCGGAUUUACUGGGUGUAAAGGGCGUGCAGCCGGGAAGACAAGUCAGAUGUGAAAUCCCGCGGCUCAACCGCGGAACUGCAUUUGAAACUGUUUUUCUUGAGUAUCGGAGAGGUAAUCGGAAUUCCUAGUGUAGCGGUGAAAUGCGUAGAUAUUAGGAAGAACACCAGUGGCGAAGGCGGAUUACUGGACGACAACUGACGGUGAGGCGCGAAAGCGUGGGGAGCAAACAGGAUUAGAUACCCUGUAGUC
rnacentral:rRNA from 1 species